UAGUUCAAGGCAAUCAUCCAAGAAGCAUAUCUGGAACAAACAUUUCAAAGUGCUCAAGCCUUGACUCUAUUUGUCUUCAAUGACACGACCUACUCUCUACUGCCUCCGUCCAGACUUCUAAGUUUGUAUGACAAGCAAUCAGCUAAUAACUUGGGGGCGAAAGAGUAUGUCAAUUCUUUUACAUUGCCAUUGGCCUUGGAGACAUCAGCAUUCAGUGAUGCAGCUCCAAUGAGAACAUAUUCUGUUAGAAACAGGAAAGCUUUUCUAAAUAAGAAAGAACUUCGUAUAGGGAAUGUUGCCAGUGGCAUACCUGGACCUACAAAAUACUUCAUCAAUGGCGCCAUGUUGAUAAAACCAAACAUUCAAGCUGGGAUGCAUAUUAUUCAUGUCAUUAAUCAAGUCCUGGACACGCCUUUGGAAGAUAAUGCCAUUGCCUAUGUGACAGGAUUCAACCCUUCUAAAUUACAGUAA
rnacentral:sRNA from 1 species